rnacentral:rRNA from 1 species
CGAAGCGCAAGUGACGGUACCUGCAGAAGAAGCACCGGCUAACUACGUGCCAGCAGCCGCGGUAAUACGUAGGGUGCAAGCGUUGUCCGGAAUUACUGGGCGUAAAGCGAGCGCAGGCGGUUUCUUAAGUCUGAUGUGAAAGCCCCCGGCUCAACCGGGGAGGGUCAUUGGAAACUGGGAGACUUGAGUGCAGAAGAGGAGAGUGGAAUUCCAUGUGUAGCGGUGAAAUGCGUAGAUAUAUGGAGGAACACCAGUGGCGAAGGCGACUCUCUGGUCUGUAACUGACGCUGAGGCUCGAAAGCGUGGGGAGCAAACAGGAUUAGAUACCCCUGGUAGUCCAUGCCGUAAACGAUGAGUGCUAGGUGUUGGAGGGUUUCCGCCCUUCAGUGCCGCAGCUAACGCAUUAAGCACUCCGCCUGGGGAGUACGACCGCAAGGUUG